CCUACGGGAGGCAGCAGUGAGGAAUAUUGGUCAAUGGACGCAAGUCUGAACCAGCCAUGCCGCGUGCAGGAAGACGGCUCUAUGAGUUGUAAACUGCUUUUGUACGAGGGUAAACGCAGAUACGCGUAUCUGUCUGAAAGUAUCGUACGAAUAAGGAUCGGCUAACUCUGUGCCAGCAGCCGCGGUAAUACGGAGGAUUCAAGCGUUAUCCGGAUUUAUUGGGUUUAAAGGGUGCGUAGGCGGUCGGAUAAGUUAGAGGUGAAAUCCCGAGGCUCAACUUCGGAAUUGCCUCUGAUACUGUUCGGCGAGAGAGUAGUUGCGGUAGGCGGAAUGUAUGGUGUAGCGGUGAAAUGCUUAGAGAUCAUACAGAACACCGAUUGCGAAGGCAGCUUACCAAGCUACUUCUGACGUUGAGGCACGAAAGCGUGGGGAGCAAACAGGAUUAGAUACCCGGGUAGUC
rnacentral:rRNA from 1 species